rnacentral:rRNA from 1 species
UACGAAGGGGGGCUAGCGUUGCUCGGAAUUACUGGGCGUAAAGCGCACGUAGGCGGGUUCUUAAGUCGGUGGUGAAAUCCUGGAGCUCAACUCCAGAACUGCCUUCGAAACUGGGAAUCUUGAGUCCGGGAGAGGUGAGUGGAACUGCGAGUGUAGAGGUGAAAUUCGUAGAUAUUCGCAAGAACACCAGUGGCGAAGGCGGCUCACUGGCCCGAUACUGACGCUGAGGCACGAAAAGCGUGGGGGAGCAAACAGG